rnacentral:sRNA from 2 species
UUUUCGUCUGUACGUGAGAGGAUGAGAAUCUCCGAAGGAGGUUUGAGCCGAACGUAGUGAGACCACGUUGCUUUAGCAACGGCCCGCAGGGCAAGCAUCGAAGAUGCGCAUAAUCCUCUCAUGCCGACCA